rnacentral:lncRNA from 1 species
UCGAGGCCUGCGAGGAGUGGGGCAUCUUUCAGGUCGUCGAUCAUGGGGUUGACGCUGAUCUCAUCUCCGACAUGACUCAUCUCGCUCGCCAGUUUUUCGCCUUGCCGCCUGAGGAGAAGCUCCGUUUUGAUAUGUCCGGCGGCAAGAAAGGCGGAUUCAUCGUCUCCAGCCAUUUGCAGGUAUGCUUUAAGUAAAACGGUUUGGUGUAAGUAUUUUAUUUACAAAAAAUAAUAUAGAGAUAAAAUUUAUUGUUUAUUUUCGCUUAGGGAGAAGCGGUGCAGGAUUGGCGGGAGAUAGUAACGUACUUUUCGUAUCCAGUCCGCCAACGGGACUACUCACGGUGGCCGGACAAGCCGGAGGCAUGGAGGGCGGUGACGGAGGAAUACAGCGAGAAGCUGAUGGGACUAGCAUGCAGACUGUUGGAGGUUUUGUCCGAAGCUAUGGGGCUAGAGAAGGAAGCGUUGACCAAAGCAUGCGUUGACAUGGACCAAAAAGUAGUUGUUAAUUUCUACCCAAAAUGCCCUCAGCCUGAUCUCAUCCUCGGUCUCAAGCGUCACACUGAUCCAGGCACCAUCACGCUCUUGCUUCAGGACCAGGUCGGCGGCCUCCAAGCUACAAGAGAUAACGGCAAAACUUGGAUUACCGUUAAGCCCGUUGACGGCGCCUUCGUGGUCAACCUCGGAGACCAUGGCCACGUAAGCAAUACUAAUAAUUACAUUUUACUUCAUUUCUUUUAUUUUACAUUUUUACUUCAUUCCUUUAAAAAAAGAUUCUCACUGUAUACGUGGACCAAGAUUAGCGAAAGAUAGGGCUGGAAUUUGAUUAAUUUGGUUAUUAAUGAUUGGUUAUGAUCGGGUAAAACGAAAUUGUACAAUACUAUUAAUUAACCGGAUCGGAUAAACUGACUGAAUGGUCCCAGUGGUUAAAUAGCCAACGUCAACCAACCAAACGGUUAAUCUAACCGUGUUUAACCAACUGCUGUCUUGGUUAAACUUGGUUACGACCGAAAUGGGAAUAAUCGAAGAUGCAAUCCCAAUUUGUGAAUUCGCUUGAGUUGGGACUUGGAUUCCAUACUUGCAAGGUAAGUUACGAUCGGGUGGCAUGGUUGGAUAAUUUCCGUUGGAUUAGGGGUAGAAUUGAGCUGGGGUAAUUUCAGUUAGUUAAACACGGUUAACCGCCGCUAAUCAAUGGUUUAAUCAUUUUAACCGAUUAAUCAGUUUCACCAAACAUCUCGACCGCUGAUUAGCCUAAUUUUGAUUUGACCAACGUGGUUGGUUAAUCAGUCCGAUUAACCAAACCUGAGAAGCCAGCCUACUUGCACGUGGAUCUUGUAAAAUUUUAAUACAUACCGUAAAUUUGUAUUUUUGUUAAUGAUGAGUUUGCUACAUUGAUCUUUGGUGUUUACGUAACGUAGUUUCUGAGCAACGGAAGGUUCAGGAACGCGGACCACCAGGCGGUGGUGAACUCGAACUCGAGCAGGCUGUCGAUAGCGACGUUCCAGAAUCCGGCACCAGAGGCAAAGGUGUACCCGCUGAAGAUAAGGGAAGGGGAGAAGGCGGUGAUGGAGGAGGCAAUAACGUUCAUGGAGAUGUACAAGAGGAAGAUGAGCGGGGACAUUGAGCUCGCCAGGCUUAAGAAGCUUGCCAAGGAGAAGCUCAAGGAAAUGGAAGCUGCUGAUGUGGAAGCCGAGGCUGCUAAACUUGAGAUCAAGGCCAAACUUGAAGCCAAGCCUUUGGACCAGAUUCUCGCCUAAAUUUAUAUUACCAAAAUGGAAGCAUAGUGAUUGUUAUGAUGUUUGUGUGUGAAGAAUGGUUGGUUGAGUUAUGCGUGUGCUUGUGUCUACUGAGGAGCAUGUUCGACUCAGUCGUGUAAUGUUUCUUCUUGUCUGGGGUUUAUGAAAACAUUACAAAUAAAACAUCUUUUCAGAAAAAUAAACUAAUAAGAAUACUGAAUACAGUAUUAUUAUAAUUAAUGUAUGACUUUUAGCGAGUUAUUAUUUUUUUAUGAAUAUCAAAUUUUAUAUCAUUGAAAUUACAGUAAUCAAAAUUACGGUUCAAGAAAUUAACAAAACAGAAAGGAGAUUAAACUAACAAAAUUGAAUUACAAUAUAUACCAUCUAUACAAAUUAUUAUAAGAAAAGAGACAACGAACUAUAUUGGGAUUGCAUUUGGCCAUGAAAAAUUCCCAACAAAUAUGUCCAUCCAAUUGAACUUCAUUCAUCUAAACAUCAAAAAACAUCAUUUUACAUCUUUCUUUCUAGACAUGACUACCGUAACAAUACCAUACCAAGUUGGCAGCUCUCGAAUCAGAGCAGAUACCAAUUAUUUUUAGUUUUUAUGCAAUUCUGAAUUAAAGUGUCGAUGGAUAGAUUAACUAAAUAAAACACAAUUAACAUAAUAAUAUCACAACGGUUAUAUAACGCAAAACAUUUUCUUGCAGUUUACAUUGAACUAACAAUACAAUUAUAUAAUCUAAAAAUGUUAAAUUGAGUUCAACUCAUAUUAUAUCAUUUAACUGCCAAUUGAUGUACUUGAUUAUUAGUACAUUCAUUCCAUUUUUAAACAAUGUUUUUAAGUGUUUGGAUGCCUCAAUUUGAUCGAAUUUAUGACGUUUUGUACAUUUUUGGUUCUCCUUUGGCCUCUUGGGUUGUUUUAUGUUGUUUUCAUGUUUUUGGUACAUUUAAGGUGUCAUACGACAUCUCGGGAUGGACUAAAACAUGACGGGAAAGUUGGAACAACUCAGAACGAUCGACUUUGUCAAAAAGUCACAAUUUAGUAUUUUGAGCAUAACUCAUCGCUCGGAAGUCUGAUUGAUGCAAGGUCAGCGGCGUUGGAAAACUAGUUUGAUUGCCUACAACUUUUGUGUUCAAGUGGUUUCCUGGAAUUUUAUCUGUUUCCCACCAAAUGCCUGCAAAACGUAAGCCAAUUUGACAAUUUUCAACACUAACAUCACACCAAAAAAAUUAAAUUUUAACUUCAUUUGACCAUUAUUUACAGGGGAUACCAUAGUGAAACUUGAAUUUUUUGUCAAUUCUAACAUGCAUGUCAAAUAUUAACCGAUUUGAAAUUUUUUAAUUUUGAUGUCAAAAUUGCCAAUUUUUAUGGGUUAUUACACACAGAAAUUGACAAUUUUCACAUGAAAUUAUAAAUUUUUAAAUUGGCUAAUAUUUUACAUGCAUGUUGGAAAUGACUAAAAAUCCAAAUUUCACCAUGUUAACCCCUUCAAAUAAUAGUCAAAUGAAGUUUAAAACAUUUUUAGACUAUACGGUAAUUGUGUUAUGUUUAGUCUUGAAGGUUUUCAAAUUAGCUAACUUCUUGCAAGCAUUUUGAAAAAAGCUAGAAAUUUAUUGAUAUAUAUAAUCAUGCAUCUGUUAAUUCACAUAAAUUUGUUUAUCAUUUUGUAAUACAAAGAAAACCUUUAAAGAUGAAAAAGUAGCUAGAUCACACUCAACUUUCGAAGACCAUCAAGUACUUGAAAAUUGAGUUGUGUUUGUUUGUUGAAAACCUUUCACCAAGGAUAGUGGAGGAGGAGAGAUUAUUAAGUAACGGAGUUGGCUACAUCGACUUAAAAACGUGAAGAUGCAUGGUAAAGCAGCCGAUGAUUACAAGUCCAUCGCAAAUUUGUUUCAAACUAACUUGAUAGUAAUAUAUUUUCAAUGUAAGCUUAAUUAAUUAUAUAGAUGACUCAAAUUUCUAGUUGUAUUUUAAAUAAGAGGCCAGGUUGUAUUGACACAGACUUUCCAAGUUUAUAAAGCUGAAUAACAAACCACGGCAGCAAGAGUUUGCGAGUGGCAGUGGCUAUGUCACCUUUUCGCAAACAUAUCUUUGUCUACAACUUUAUUAUUAUACAAUGAUAGUUCAUCAACGAACUGAACGGUCGAGAAUCUUGUAACUCAUGAGCGUACCAAGCACAUAAAAUUAUUUUGUCAUGUAGUUCAUAAGAAAGUCACUUCAGGUUUAGUUUGGGUUAUAAUAAUUGAUAAUGGCCAACUAAAUAAGAUAAUUAAUGUAAUGAAAAUCCUAUCCAAAUAACUCAUAAAAUUUUUACUUUAAUUUGAAUGAGAGUUGUAUAAAAUAGAUGAAAUUAUUUGGAGAGUUAAGUCCUUCAGAGGGUUGGGCAGAACCCCCACCCCUCGACUUAGGUACUCAAUGAAUUCUAUUGUACUUGACACGUGGACCGUGUUACCUAACAAUUUUUAUUGAUAAGAUAAAUCGGGUAACUAAUAAUUUGAUUAAUGAAACGUAAUAAUUUUGCGUUGUAAAUAAUAUAAUUCAUCCAUCCACCCAUUUCCCAAUCACUUUACACCACAAGCCACAAGAAACCAGAAACAAAAUAAGAAAGAAGAAGAAGAAGAAUCAAAAUAGGCUAUAAAUAUGAAAAAGAACGCGACCGGCUAGAGAGAAGGCCAGAUUAAGUAAGGAAUGAUCAAAUGGCUCCUCCAAAGACAUUAACGGGUCUGGCAGAAGAGAGGACGUUGGGGGCUACCUUCAUCCGCGACGAAGAUGAGCGCCCGAAAGUUGCUUACAAUCAAUUCAGCGACGAAAUCCCCGUCAUUUCCCUUGCCGAUAUUACCAACAACCGCCAGCAGGUUUGUGACAAGAUCGUCAAGGCCUGCGAAGAUUGGGGCAUUUUUCAGGUGGUGGAUCAUGGCAUUGACCCCAACCUUGUAUCCGACAUGGCCCGCCUUGCUCGCGACUUUUUCGCUCUGCCGCCGGAGGAGAAGCUCCGGUUUGAUAUGUCCGGCGGCAAGAAAGGCGGCUUCAUCGUAUCCAGCCAUUUGCAGGUACGUGCAUUAUUUUGAUCGUGAAAUAUUUCUGGGUUUUCUUUUCUGUUCCUUUUUCCAGCCAUAUUUUUUAUAAAUAAAUUCAGGGUUUUUCUGUUGUACAUUCAUCCCUCCUUUUCAGCUAGGGUUAAGGAACCGAGCCGAUUUGAAUUUUAUUGUAUCCGCUGCUCAAGUUUUUGGCUCGUUAAUUUUUAGGUGAAUCGAGUUUUGAGUUAGAAAUUUUAAUAUAUGUCGAGUUUGAGUCUGUUUCAGUCUAACUCGUUAAUAAAUUUUGACGAAAGCCAAUUCGAACUUGACUCAGACUUUGCUAAUUAUAAUAAAUUCAAUUGGACGUGAUUGAAUUUGAAACAUAUAUGCUAACAAAAUCAGCGAGUCAAAAUUAAAAUAAAUUAUCUUAAAAUUUACAAAUACCUACUUUUCUUAAUUAAAAUAGUUAAAUCUAGACAAAUGCAAUUUUCAUUAGUAAAAUUAUAAAUUACAAAAUGAUCUUUAGAUAUGAUUUUUUAGACAAAUACAUUGCAUUUUUUAGUCUACUAUAUAACGAGUUGUACACUUUAUCGAAUUACUAUUAGAAUUGAUUUUUGAGCUCGAAUCAACUUGCAAGUCAAUCAAGUCAAACAUAUCUUAACUUAAAAUUAAUUCCUUAAAAAUCAAAUCAAAUGGCGAAUUAAUUUUUUUCAAGCCGAACGCAUUCUCUAAUUGUAACGUACGUCCAUUUAUAAAUGAAACGGUUUGUUUUGAGUUUUUUCCCAUGCAGGGAGAAGCGGUGCAAGAUUGGCGUGAGAUAGUAACCUACUUCUCGUAUCCAAUCCGACAACGGGACUACUCACGGUGGCCGGACAAGCCGGAGGCGUGGAGGGCGGUGACGGAGGAAUACAGCGAGAAGCUGAUGGGACUAGCAUGCAAACUCCUGGAGGUUUUGUCGGAAGCCAUGGGCCUAGAGAAGGAAGCGUUGGCCAAAGCAUGUGUUGACAUGGACCAAAAAGUAGUUGUCAAUUUCUACCCAAAAUGCCCUCAGCCUGAUCUCACCCUCGGUGUCAAGCGUCACACGGAUCCAGGCACCAUCACGCUCUUGCUCCAAGACCAGGUCGGCGGCCUCCA